rnacentral:rRNA from 1 species
CUCUACGGCAUGCCACCCCAAACAAGCCCGAUCUCGUCUGAUCUCGGAAGCUAAGCAGGGUCGGGCCUGGUUAGUACUUGGAUGGGAGACCACCUAGGAAGACCAGGUGCUGCAGGCA